rnacentral:rRNA from 1 species
AUGCAUGUGGGACAAAUGAACCCCUUGAUGUUUGGAGAUCUGUGCCCUGCAACUUGUUACAGAACUACUACAGGCACGGCAUACCUCCAAUUCAUGGAACUUCAAACCACCACACAAAAUGUUCAGCUGAGUGGAACUUAUGAUAAAUGGAUUUAUCCUUGGGCAUCUGACUUUUCCUCCAUCAAGAUGUACAAACUACUCAAACAGGGAGUCCCUGCUCCACCAAUAUUUGCUAAAAUAUGGAAAAAUGCAUCCAUGCUCAAAUACAAGAUAUUCUUCUGGCUCCUUAUGCAUGACAGAGUCAACUCAAGGAAUCUACUCCACAGGAAAUCUUUUCACUUGCCAUCCUAUAAUUGUGCACUCUGCCAUGCACACACUGAGGAAACAUCACACCACUUGUUUUGGGACUGCGAUUUUGCUCUCAGCUGCUGGGACUCAAUUAUCACAAACAUAAAUAGAGGAACCUCCCUCUAUGAUGAGAUCAUCAUAUUCGCUCAAGCUUUACCUGCUCCCAUUGCGAUGGAAAUCCUUAUAAUGGAUGUUGGAACAUUUGGAUACAAAGAAAUGGGAGAAUUUUUAGAGCACAACCACAUUCAGUUCAAUCAUGGAGAAGACUAUUGA